ensembl:lncRNA
AAAAAAACGCCUUACUAUACUAUGUCGAAAAAAAAAUGCAAUUUUUCAACAUGUUGUAAAAAUGUGCCAUAUGAUGAAAUAAUGUAAAGGAGGCCGUGAAAAACACUCAAGAAAGGUUUUCUUUGAAAAAAAAAUCAUCAUGAAUUUUGGCGCAAAAAAAACGCCUUACUAUACUAUGUCGAAAAAAAAUGCGAUUUUUCAACAUGUUGUAAAAACAUGCCAUAUGAUGAAAUAAUGUAAAGGAGGCCGUGAAAAACACUCCAGAAAGGUUUUCUUUGAAAAAAAAAUCAUCAUGAAUUUUGCCGCAAAAAAACGCCUUACUAUACUAUGUCGAAAAAAAAAUGCAAUUUUUCAACAUGUUGUAAAAACGUG